GAGUGUGAGAAGUAGGCAAAUCCGCUUCUCGCGAAGCAUGAGCUGUGAUGGGGAAGGAAAUUAAGUACGGAAGUUCCUGAUUUCACGCUGUCAAGAAAAGCCUCUAGGAAGAGUAGUACUGCCCGUACCGCAAACCGACACAGGUAGAUGAGGAGAGAAUCCUAAGGUGAGCGAGAGAACUCUCGUUAAGGAACUCGGCAAAAUGACCCCGUAACUUCGGGAGAAGGGGUGCUCUAUUAGGGUGCAAGCCCGAGAGAGCCGCAGUGAAUAGGCCCAGGCGACUGUUUAGCAAAAACACAGGUCUCUGCAAAACCGUAAGGUGACGUAUAGGGGCUGACGCCUGCCCGGUGCUGGAAGGUUAAGAGGAGUGCUUAGCUUCGGCGAAGGUACGAAUUGAAGCCCCAGUAAACGGCGGCCGUAACUAUAACGGUCCUAAGGUAGCGAAAUUCCUUGUCGGGUAAGUUCCGACCCGCACGAAAGGCGCAACGAUCUGGGCACUGUCUCAACGAG
rnacentral:rRNA from 1 species